GCCAAAGAUCUUUGAAAGAUUGUUCCUGGCUGGCAGGCUGAGACUGAUGGGGCUUUUGAGUUUAGGGGUUCUGAUAUGCUGUGGUUUUAGUUGACAGGGUGUCCACAUUAAGUCCAGCAUUCAUAUGGUGAGCCUUGGGAACCAAGAGCUACCAGGUGGCCUAAGGAGGGGUGAAUUGGCCCCAUUCUGAAAUGGAGCAGGUCAAAGCUUCCAUGUCUCUCAGAGUGGGACCAGGCUCAUGAGUCACUCCUGUAUUUCCAGCCUGGCUAAGAGAGAGAUCCAGCCUUAAU
rnacentral:SRP_RNA from 1 species